ensembl:lincRNA 4732490B19Rik RIKEN cDNA 4732490B19 gene
AACAACCUGGGGUUCAUUGUUUCUAUGGGGCAUCUACAGAGCUGCUGACCUCUGCCAAAAGGCCAGAGGCUGAUCCCUCACUCCAGGGAGACCUGCAGUGGUGCCAUACUCGCAGACUCCAGCAUGCUGGCUUAGCUCAGGACUGUCGGGUUGAACCAAAUGCCACCAUUUCCUACCUCUAGAGAACCAGAACCGGGGUGGCAGAGCGACCCUACUAUCAGCUGGGCUACGCUAGCACUUCCAGGCUGCUGCUGCCUCCCUCUCUGACCUCGAAUUUGUGCACCAGGCUAAGGCCCCAUUUUUCCCUCAGGGAAGCCAGACUCUCUUCACUAAGGAUUGACCGAGACCUUGCAUCUGGCCUCUUCUUCCUUCUUCUCUCCUGGACCUUCAUUGGCAGAGAGUCACCUCUCCAGCCCGUGGGGCUUGGACCACUGAGGAGGCAGAUGAAAUCUGCACGUUUCUCCCUUGUCUGUCGGCACCAGAGCUAUUUGAAUCUCUGCACCAUACAUGCAAAACCCAGCAACUGACUUCCGAAGACCCCACCCUCUCGCCCUGCUCACCUGCCAGGAAGCUUAGCAUGCGCCUUUCUCCUUGUCUAAUCAGGAGUUCCUACUGAACAUGGACUUCACUCUGCUCCUCCACAUUCCUCGUACGGAAUACUGGCUAACGCUGUUAAAAAUAAAAUUGUAAAUACCGAGGAGUGGAAGGAAAAGCGAGAGCAGAAGAUCCAGCAGCUAUGGAAACCCACACCAGGCUCGGGUACCAUCAUGAGAAGACAGCGGUCCUUCCCUGCCAUGGCUACAUGGCUCUCUACUUUAAGAGAUCUCCUGGAGAAACUGGGCAGAGGUCCUCUCUCUGGGACUCUGUGCUGCAGACCUGAGGAGGCCAGUCAUCUGCGCUGUUGAUCUUCACCUUUGUCCAAGUUGUCCUGUAAAGCAGGGGAUGGGGCAGCUGUACUGUAGAAUGGGAUCAGUGCUAAGCUUUCUACGCUGCCCCUGGAACCCCAUGGGUGUCAUUCAGCACCAGAAAGGAGCCAGGAAGCCAGGGCCAACUUUAGAGCUUGCUUAGAGCUUGCCAUUUCAGUGGGGGACAGUGCAUUAGGGCCUUGGGUAGAAAUGUGAAGACUGGGCUUAGGGGAGGCCUAGGCACAGCUUCCAUUGCCCCAUCUCUAACUCCAUGUGGUGAUCUGAAUGAGAAAUGUCCUUUACAGGUCAUUGAACACUUGGUCCCCACUGGCGGUGCUGUUUAAGGGAGGUUAUGGAAAUUUAGGUGCGCAGGCUGGCCGGAGAAAGCACAUCACUGAGGGUGGUAUUGGGGGGCAGUUCCCAGCAUCACCCCCACUUCCUGUUCUUUCUCUCUGCUUCCUGUUUGUGGAUGAAAUGGUAUCAGCCAGUUUCCUACCCCUGCUCCCCCAUCUGCUGUGCCAAGCCAUUUGUCCCCCAUUAUGAGGAAGCUAUUCCUCUAGAACCAGAGCAGAGCUAAAAUAAUACUUUUUUCCUUAAGUUGCUUUUGGUCUUGUUUUUUCUUUUCUUUUCUUUUCUUUUUCUUUUUAAUCACAGCAACAGAAUAGUAACCAAUACACCCCAUUAUUCUUAUCUGGGUGAAUAGAAAUGAGUCCUGUCACUGUGUGUAUGCAUGUAUAUAUGCAUGCAUAUGCUUAUUGCAGGGGUUCUCAGCCUUCCUAACGCUGCAUGCGACCCUUUAAUACAGCGCCUCGUGUUGUGGUGACUCCUCCCAACCAUAGAAUUAUUUUUGUCGCUACUUCACGAUUGUGAUUUUGCUACUGUUCUGAAUCCUGUUGUAAAUAUCUGAUCUGCAGGAUAUCAGCUAUGUGACCCUUGUGAAAGGGACAUUUGGUUUCCCCAAAGGGUCAUGACCCAUAGGUUGAGAAUGGCUUACUUAUGGACUCUUUAGACAUUCCCUCAUUUAAGCCUCUUGAGUCUUGGGAUAACAGGUGCAAGCCCACACCUGGCUUUCUCUUGUCCUAUUAAAUAUGCAUACCCUGUCUCAGAAUCUAGGAUCAUCUAGGAGACAGGGCUCUCGGGAAUCCUGAGAGAGUGUCUUGGUUAUGCUAAUUGGUAUGGGAAGAUCCAUCUUAGUUGUGGGCAGGACCAUUGCCUGGGCAGGGGUCCUCGACUGUCUAACAGGGAGCAGCAGGGUGAAUUUACCCCUCUACUCUCUGAUUGUGGAUGUGGCAGGAACAGCUGCCUAAAGUUCCUGCUGCCUUCCUUUUUCAUUACAAGGGACUGUACUUGAAAUGUGAAAUGUGAGCUAAAAGAAACCCAUUCUUUUUUAAGAUGCUAAAAAACCAAACCCAACCCCUUUAAUAUAUAUAUAGUAUAUAUAUUAUAUGUAUAUAAUAUAUAUUACACUGCCAUUUCCCAUUUUAUUUUUAUGUGCUCACCCGCCACAAAAAAAAAGAAAAGAAAAAAAUAAAGUGUUAGAACC